rnacentral:rRNA from 1 species
UACGGAGGGUGCGAGCAUUAAUCGGAUUUAUUGGGCGUAAAGGGCGCGUAGGCGGGUCAGUAAGUCAGAUGUGAAAGCCCGGGGCUCAACCCCGGAACAGCAUUUGAAACUGCAGAUCUAGAGGGUAGGCGGAGAAAAUAGAAUUCCACAAGUAGCGGUGAAAUGCGUAGAUAUGUGGAAGAAUACCAGUGGCGAAGGCGGUUUUCUAGCUUAUACCUGACGCUGAGGCGCGAAAGCAAGGGGAUCAAACAGG